AGCAUGUUAGCUGAGUGUAAGUGUUAAUUAAAUCAGCUAGUAGUGAUGUUGAUGGUAUUUUCUAGCAAUUCAUAAACGCAAUGAAAAUAGCUCACAAGUUGCUAACUACUUCGUGCCUUGUCCAUUAAGUGAAGCAAUAACGCGAAGUAAACUCAAUACAUCGUAAACCUUUCUAUUUAUUGAAUGUUAUGUCAGUGGCAAAGAACUCAGCCGUUGAUCUACGCCCACUGCAACCAUCGAACUCGAAAUUUUGCUUAAACAGUUUGCACGCACGAAGAUGCCUUCGACCUCAAAUAGUUAUUCAUAUAAUCUUAAGAAUGUGAGAAUUUGCGGAAUACGUAUGUAAGUCAUACUCGCAACCGCACAUUCGGAGUAGACGAGCACGAGAAAUACGACGCAGGCUGGAGAAUACAUCACAACAGGCGACAUUAAUAAGCAUGCAGGCUCAACCAUCAUCAUUAUUAAAUCGUACUCCUUCUGCGCAUGGUAUGAAGGUGGGAACCUCCACUAGAUUGCUGCGCAUUGCAUUGAAGGGGGGGGGCGGAAGGGAGCGAAGGUACACCUAAAGAAGGGUGUCUUCUUCUUACUUUUUGAAGCAGAUAUUACUUUUGAUAUUAGUUACAAAGGGGGUCCGGUGUGAGGAUCCGAAAAGUGACAAUUACUUCAAGGACUCGUUCUCAAAAACUACCUAAUUGAAAAAAACUGACAAAAGUUGUGAUGGUCUUCGUUACGAUAUCUGCUCAAAUAAAGUUAAUAAUGGCAUAUUUUUGAAUUUUGAAAAUUUACUGCGAACUCCCCUUAGCUUCAUUCUAGGUACGUAAAAUUUUGAAGUAAAAUAGAUUUUAAUAGGAAGCAUCGUACAAUUUGGUGGAGAAUCAUUCUAUUGUGAACAAGCUACUACUA